AACGCACCUUGCGGCCGCCGGUAAUCCGGCGGCCAUGCCCGUCCGAGCGUCGUUUCGACCCUCGGGACCCAUCUCCCCCCGGGGAGAAGGGGCCCCGGCCUUGGGCCAGCGCAAGCGCGUCCCCCCUCCGGGGGGUGGCGCGGCGCGGCCCGCAGACCAGCGGCGGCAGCACCGGCGAUGUCCCCUGCGCAGUAGCUUAUACAACUCGCAUUGGUCUCCCGGCGCGGCUCGCCUCGCAACCAAAACUUCUAAAGGUCGACCUCGGAUCGGGUAGGGAUACCCGCUAAACUUAA
rnacentral:misc_RNA from 1 species